UCCUGACCUGCCUGCUCUUGAGCCUCUCCGCCUUCCACACAGACGACAAUGGGGACGGGACACGGCGGCGCGUCAGCUUCCCAUGCUCGCCGCAGCCUUCCGGCCCUGGGACGCCAUCGGUCAUGUCGCUGCCUUCCCCGCCCGACCCGGACCGCGGGCCCCGCCACGACCCCAAGCCCUCGGAAGACAACGGGGGUCCCCAAGCCAAUUAAGGUCGAUGACCUCCCGCGCUCGCGCGCCAUGGUUUCGACGGGGAUGUGGAGGACGGCCGCUGGACGAGGCGGUCUAGGGCUUCUGACGACGAGAGGAGGACGACCGCCGGCGGAGGCGUCCUAGGGCCUCAGACGACGGGUGGGAUGACCAUCGCGACAAGCGCGACCGUGACCGGCGGCGCCGCCGUCCUAGCACCAGCUCGGAGUCGCGAAAGGUGCACCGGCCGGCAUGAACACCUCCUCCGGUCAGCGUGUUGGCUUCACGCGAUAAGGCGGGCGCCUCCACUCUCAUGCCGCCGUGAUUACUCUUCUGCAGGUCAGCCAGUGCAAAGGUAGGUUUGGAGCUUAAUUCCUCAUAUCUUUCCACACUGGAUUCGAUCUCUGCAGGUUUGUUGUACUUUUAAAUCUUUCAUGGAUCUAAAGUUUCUGAAUAUGUAUUUCAGGCGUGAACGAUUUCAGUAUUCAUCUUUGAUCUAUGUGUUGUGCUUGUGUACUGGACGUGUUAUUCGUCUUUUCUGGUGCUUUUCUACCGUUUAAUUUGCUUCGUCGGUGGACAAACGAGGUUACUGGAAGAAGGGUUGCCUGGGACUGGGAGGUUGCCACCUCUAGCAACGUAGAGGAGGGGUGUUGCCGUCCACCACAUCAUCUGGCUUGUCCCCAAAAUUGUUGAACUUCUGCUCCUGAGGAGACAAAAGGGAUGCAGCAACGGGGUGAGGUGAUCAGAGUGAUGUAUUGAAGCCUCCCGUUCCACAUGUUUAGUAGUUGCACCUCAACGUCACUUUUGAGUAGAUACUACUCGACCUUGGGAACACGUUGUGAUGCUUACGGAGGAGAUUAAGAAGGGCACCGGUUCCGUCCCUGACGUCGAGGUUACCAUCUGGUAAUUGGUAAUUUUGAUUAGUAGAUGUAUUUCACUGCGUCAUCUAUUUUGGAGUUACCUUUUAAAAUUUUAGAUCGUAGAUCCAAAGAAUGCAUCUUGCCUCAUUGUUCUAUGACAAAUCGGUUAUGCAGUUAGUUUUUCUUCACAGGUUAAUACAGGAUUUGCAUCUCAUGACUAUAUGGUUUGUAAAUCGAUUAUCUUGUCAGCAUUUCUUCACAAUUAUGAUGUUGCAUCCCCGUGCUUCUCUUAGCUUGCUGCUCAUUGCAGGUUGCAUAUCAGCUCUUUGUGAUAAGAAAUUAUGCUUGCAAUAACCGAUCAGAUGGAACGGUUACUAAAGUUUGCAACAUUUGAUCUUUAUUGUCGAAGAUAUAAGGAGCCAAGUAAGUGCCUUCUACUGUGUCUUUUGGAUUACUUGAUUGAUAGUGCAACCAACUUCGAGUUUGCAACUCUUUUAGGCUGAUGAGAUUUUUUUAAUCUUAUAUAUGUACUUUCAGGGUAGAGGAUUGCAACUAUAUUCAUGUAUAAUUUAUCUCCCAUUCUAUUUACAAUGCAUGAAAUUCCACCCUUGGGUUCCUCUAUGGCAAGAAAUUAGAAUUUUUAUGAUAUCUUUGGCUCUUUCUAAAUGAAACAUGUCAUGUAACUAUGGUCCCUGAGGUAGUACAAUAUAAAUUAUUUCCCUAUAUUUCUAUGAUUUAUUAUUGGAACAAAUAUUGUCAUCACAUUAGCCUAUGUGGUUAUGUUAUUGUAGAUUGUUACGUUCUCUGAGCAUGCCUACUAGCAUGUCACUUCAAUAAUUUCAGGAAAGCAUAGAAGCCAUUGUAUCUUCUUACAUCAAAUAUAUGGUGAAUGCUCACAACACAAAUGUAUUGUAGCAAUCCACAUGAUUUUUCACAUUUACUAAAUAUUUCAAUGAUUAGUCACGGAUAUGUUGCACUGUUUGCAUUAAAAGUGCACUAAGCAUAUGAGUGUCAGUGUGAUUUCAUUAAUAUAUCACUGAUUAAACAAUGUUCUUUCUUCCAUUUCCAUUGUUUAUUUUCAUUUUGUGUGCUCAACUAUAUAAAUUAUCUAUAUCCUAAAAUGUGUUGCAGUAAUGCAUAGGAACUAUUACAUCAUGCUACUUAUCACUUACAUUCUUGUGUUGUGCAGAAAGCUUUGAUUAUUUAACCUUGCUCGUGAAAAGGGGGAAAUUUGAUUAUUUAACCAUGUUGUGCCAUGAGAUUUCUUCCCCUUUUUAGUGGUGCCAAAUGAAGAUCCUUUUAGAUUGCAAUACUUCUAUGCAUGCCUUCAGCAUGCCUGGAUGUGUCUACAUCUGCAUUCCUUAAGUGUAUGAUGGCAUCAAGACUGGUAUAAUCUAGAAAGGAUAUUUUAGUUUUUGUACACUUACAAAUUGUGCUUUCUGAUGAACUUCAUGUAAGAUGUAGCUUCUUCCCAGGCGCCAAGGCUUCUCUUUUUUUUGGUUUGGUUCUUCUGCUCUAUGUGGUUAAUCUAUCUGCUUCCAAAAAUCAUCCUGAAGUUCAAAAAACA